rnacentral:rRNA from 1 species
UACGUAGGGGGCAAGCGUUGUCCGGAUUUAUUGGGCGUAAGGAGCGUGUAGGCGGUUAGGUAGGUCCGUUGUGAAAACUCGAGGCUCAACCUCGAGACGCCGAUGGAAACCAUCUAACUAGAGUCCGGAAGAGGAGAGUGGAAUUCCUGGUGUAGCGGUGAAAUGCGCAGAUAUCAGGAAGAACACCCGUGGCUAAGGCGGCUCUCUAGUACGGUACUGACGCUGAGACGCGAAAGCGUGGGGAGCGAACAGG